GGGAUCCCCAACCACAUCCUGUGACAAUGACAGCGGAUGAGCUGGUUUUCUUUGUGAACGGAAAAAAGGUGGUGGAGAAGAAUGCAGAUCCAGAAACAACCCUUUUGGCCUACCUGAGAAGAAAAUUGGGGCUGAGCGGGACCAAGCUGGGCUGUGGAGAAGGGGGCUGCGGGGCUUGCAC